rnacentral:rRNA from 1 species
AGCGAACGCUGGCGGCAGGCUUAACACAUGCAAGUCGAACGGGCAUAGCAAUAUGUCAGUGGCAGACGGGUGAGUAACGCGUGGGAACGUACCUUUUGGUUCGGGACAACACAGGGAAACUUGUGCUAAUACCGGAUAAGCCCUUACGGGGAAAGAUUUAUCGCCGAAAGAUCGGCCCGCGUCUGAUUAGCUAGUUGGUAGGGUAAUGGCCUACCAAGGCGACGAUCAGUAGCUGGUCUGAGAGGAUGAUCAGCCACAUUGGGACUGAGACACGGCCCAAACUCCUACGGGAGGCAGCAGUGGGGAAUAUUGGACAAUGGGCGAAAGCCUGAUCCAGCCAUGCCGCGUGAGUGAUGAAGGCCCUAGGGUUGUAAAGCUCUUUUGUGCGGGAAGAUAAUGACGGUACCGCAAGAAUAAGCCCCGGCUAACUUCGUG